rnacentral:miRNA from 1 species
AGGGUUGGACGAGAUGGUCUUU